GCUGGAAUGGUCUAGUUGGUUAUGACGACUGCCUAACACGCAGUAGGUCCCGAGUUCGAUUCUUGGUUCCAGUA
rnacentral:tRNA from 1 species